ACUCCUACGGGAGGCAGCAGUGGGGAAGUCUUGGACAAUGGGCGCAAGCCUGAUCCAGCCAUGCCGCGUGAGUGAUGAAGGCCCUAGGGUCGUAAAGCUCUUUCGCCAGAGAUGAUAAUGACAGUAUCUGGUAAAGAAACCCGGGCUAACUCCGUGCCAGCAGCCGCGGUAAUACGGAGGGGGUUAGCGUUGUUCGGAAUUACUGGGCGUAAAGCGCGCGUAGGCGGACUGGAAAGUUGGGGGUGAAAUCCCGGGGCUCAACCCCGGAACUGCCUCCAAAACUAUCAGUCUAGAGUUCGAGAGAGGUGAGUGGAAUUCCGAGUGUAGAGGUGAAAUUCGUAGAUAUUCGGAGGAACACCAGUGGCGAAGGCGGCUCACUGGCUCGAUACUGACGCUGAGGUGCGAAAGUGUGGGGAGCAAACAGGAUUAGAUACCCUGGUAGACUGUCA
rnacentral:rRNA from 1 species